rnacentral:rRNA from 1 species
CCCUUAGAUGUUCUGGGCCGCACGCGUGCUACACUGAGUGGAUCAGCGGGUCAGGUUGCGCGAAAGUGUUUCCUAAUCUUGAAAUCCGCUCGUGAUGGGGAUUGACGGUUGCAAUUUUCCGUCAUGAACGAGGAAUACCUUGUAAGCGCGGGUCAUCAUCCCGCGCUGAAUACGUCCCUGCCCUUUGUACACACCGCCCGUCGCUCCUACCGAUUGAGUGGUCCGGUGAGGCUUUGGGAUCUGAGCGGAAAGAGCGUUUCGCUGUUUCUGCUCGGAAAACUCAGUCGAACCUUAUCAUUUAGAGGAAGGAGAAGUCGUAACA